UUCAUUUGCCUGUGGUCCAGUUUAAAAGCACGUGAUGACUUCAGAUAUUAAUAGUUGAAGAUUUAGAUGAUGCUUUUACAUCCCUGAGAAAACUGGGACAAGAGAAUGUGAGUAAACAUAAAAAUAUGACAAGAUGCAGCAGAGUUUAUUGAUGAGUACCUGCUCUGCUCUUAAACCCAGGGUGCUACGUCACUGCCCAGAAGUGCAAGUAGAAACGAGGAGAGAACUCUCUGUGAUUAGAGUCUCAGGUUGUGUAAUAAGUCACAGCAAGGGCAUCUAAUCAUCUCUAGAACGUGACAACAUUUGGUUCAGAUUCCCUUAUCAGCGUCACCUUUCCUUCUGCCUCUGCCUCAUCCUUAAAGAAGACCAGGCGGUGGGCCUUGGAGAUCAGUCACACGUCGACCGCUUCUUCAAACACUUCACGUGGGAAACCGUUCAGAGGCAUGAUUGCUGAGCUGCAGACCUGGAAAAUAACUGUCAUCAAGACCUUUACAUCUGUCAGAGGAAUUUCAGCCCACUGAUACCACUUUGCCCCUACAUUUUCUUUUAAACUUUAGCAAGACCUUGGAAUUUUAUGACUUAAAAUUGCUACUGUGGUGCUUUAUUUUGUGAGGAGUUCUAUUUCACACAAGUGUUUUAGCCAAGAAUUUGUUACACACCUUGAAAAUGAAAAAGAUCAUUAUUAUAUUGUGUAUGGUAAUUAAGACGAAGCCAUCUGCUUUAUUUCCUUUGUUCCUGUU